AAGGUAUCAGUUUUUUAAAGUUUGACCAAAGAUAUCAAAAAGAUCACAAAAUUAGCCGAAAAGGAUAAUGUUAAAAAUAAAUCAAGAGGUAACUCAACUUAGCUUCAAGCUAUCCAUCUACACAACUUGUUCAAGUAAUAUCAUCCUUGAUUCUAAAAACAACCUCUCCCAACAAAUUAUGCAAUAGAAAAUCAAAUGACACCACUAGCCCCACGCCCAAAAAUUUUUGGAAAAAAUAGAACUACCAGAAAAAAAAAAAGGAAAAAAAAGAACCAUUUUCCCACCUCCGUUAUCUUCUUUCCUUCUCAAUGACUAAAAAGCAUCAAUCCUGAGCGAAAACUCAUUGUCCGUUAUAACCAUUUUCAUACUGUAAGGAACCAUCAGAUAUCCUUCAGAUCACUCCAACCUGAGUUAAAUAGCUUAUGCCCCAAAGCUGGGUCAGAUUCUACAACAUCAAGAAAGUAAAUGACAGUUCAUACCAAUGGCCAAGAUUACAAAUAUCAAUACAAGGUAAAGGGAUCAAUCCAAGACUUUAGUGCACACACCAAAGUGCAUAGAGAGCAACACUAUAGUCAAAUCCAAAUGUAAGUUGAUUUAUGAAGAAAUGCCUAUCAUUCGGGAGAGAUCUGAGAGCAGCUAAGACAAGAAGCAAUAGCCCAAAUGCAUGUUUGCAUCAAUGAGAUAACAGAUGGUGCUAAAAGAUGACUGCUUUAAAGGGAGGGAGGGGGCACCAUUAACCAGCAAACCAUUUGGCAGGACCCUGAAGUACUGGUCGCAUCUGUUACUGCUUGACUGCAGGCUGCAGCAAACUGUGAACCUAUUCUCCACCGCAGAAGUCCAAUUACCAUGAAAUUUUGAGAAAAACAGCACAUUAUGACCUAAACAUACAAUUGAAAGGAUCUUAUAUUGUCUCCGGUACUUGGACAAAGAGGCACACUCACAUAAGAAGCCAGGCAAAAAGUGCAUUCCAUCUGCAGAUAGAGCGAACAUCACAUUAAAAUCAUUAUUUGAGUUCUUCAAUAUAGAAGUAGCACAAAGAAGGAAGAACCUUAACAAAUAAAUGCAAACACAUUGUCAAAUAUUUUUCUCACAAAUAACCAACCAUAUUCAUAUCGAAAAUGCCUCAUUCCAAAUUCCUGAAACAUGCAAUUGUGAACUUAAAAACUUCCCAAAUCGGACCAUGAUAGCCAUGCUCAUCCCCCAUGAAAGCAAAGCCCUUUCUAAAUCUUAACCUAUAGGCAAUAAGCUUCAUCACUAUCCACUCUUCAUUAUAUCACAGUACCUCUUAACACCACAAAAAAAUGAAACUACAAAAUGAGCAAACUGUAUAGAGGGAAAUAAAUGUCCUUUACCAAUAACAUUUGUUAUCUCUGUACAACGAGGCAAUUUCUUUGAAGUUAAUGAAAUGUUUAUCUGAUGAAAACUUAUUUUCCUUUUUUCAGUAAUAUUACAUUUAACUAAGCGCUCAAUUUUGAUUGGUUGAGAACAGUACAAAGACCACUUACAAGAGCCAGUGGAAGUGUUUUAAAUAAAGAUAAAAAGGAUUACCAGCAAUAAUCCAACAACUAGCUACAGGAUCAAAGGGAAUAGGGCUGAAACCUAUCUGUCAAAGUAUCAUUCCAUCUUCCAAAAUACAACCUUUCCUUGAUGCUUAAGUCAAUCAAACUAUGAAUAAAAUGGACCCUGUAAUAAGUAUGUGUAUUACUUAUCAAGAAAAAAACCCCGAUAAAGUACCCCGAUAAAGUAUUAUAUCAUAUAUAAAUGGUAAUAUUAGGAGCAAAACAAUUGUCCAGGCAAAUUCCGAAGGUACCAUUUCGCAUCAUGUCAAUACUAGUAGUAUCAUAUAAAUGGUGAGUAUCAAUACCGUUAAAGGGGAUAAGAACAAACACAAGUAUCAGUGUUGUCAAAG
rnacentral:lncRNA from 1 species